rnacentral:rRNA from 1 species
GAUGAACGCUAGCGGGAGGCCUAACACAUGCAAGCCGAGCGGUAUUGUUUCUUCGGCCCUGCGAGAGCGGCGUACGGGUGCGUAACACGUGUGCAACCUGCCUUUAUCUGGGGGAUAGCCUUUCGAAAGGAAGAUUAAUACUCCAUAAUAUAUUGAACGGCAUCGUUUAAUAUUGAAAGCUCCGGCGGAUAGAGAUGGGCACGCGCAAGAUUAGCUAGUUGGUGAGGUAACGGCUCACCAAGGCGAUGAUCUUUAGGGGGCCUGAGAGGGUGAUCCCCCACACUGGUACUGAGACACGGACCAGACUCCUACGGGAGGCAGCAGUGAGGAAUAGUGGUCAAGGGGUGCAAGCCUGAACCAGCCAUCCCGCGUGAAGGACGACUGCCCUAUGGGUUGUAAACUUCUUUUGUAUAGGGAUAAACCUACCCUCGAGAGGGUAGCUGAAGGUACUAUACGAAUAAGCACCGGCUAACUCCGUG